GUAUGUAUUAUGUAGUAUGUAGUAUGUAUGUAUGUAUGUAUGUAUGUAUGUAUGUAUGUAUGUAUGUAUGAAUGUAUUGAGACAGGAUCUCACUAUGUGCUCCUAGCUGUCUUGGAACUCACUAUGUAGCAGGGCUGCCCUAGAGCUAACAGAAAUCUGUCUGUCUCUGCCUUCCUAGUGCUGGGAUUAAAGGUAUGCACUACCAUACCCAGCUUUGUGUGUGGUAAUUUUAAAAGACCCACCUUUAACUCUGAUAUUUUAAAAUUUUUAACUGUGUGUAUACAUGUGUGUCUGUGGGGCAUAUGGACAAGUGAAUGCAGUUGAAUACAAUUGCCAGAAUAAGAUGUCAAGAGCACUGGUCCCAGAGUUGUAGGCUGUUGUGUGAAACCCUGUGUCAAUGCUGGGAGCCAAACCUGGGUCCUCUGCAAGAGCAGAUGGCUCUCAGCCAUCUCGUCAGGUCUAAAGCUCCAAUAUUCUUUUCUCUUGAUCUAGUCUGCUGUUCAAGCUUUCAAUUGUUUUGCUUUUUUAAAUCUGAAUUAGUAAGUCCUUCGCUUUUGUGCCGAUUCUCUUUCCAGAGUCUCUCCUCCUUUGCUGAUUUUCUUGUUCAUAUGCUGAACCGUCUUCCAGACUUCAUUGGACCAUUGAUUUGUAUUGGCUUGAUUCUUAACAGGCUUUUCUGAAAGAUCUUCUUGAGUUCUUGAUCAGGUAUUUUACUGACUUAAUCGCUUUUAGAAUACCCUACCAGCAUGCCAUGUUACAUCUUUCCCUGCAUUUUGUGUCCCUAAAGCAGACUUGAUGUAUCUGGUUGGCUUUCUUAGUAAGGGGCUUUCUCCCAAAGACAUGUCUUGGGGCUUGGUUUGUUCUGCAACGCUGAGUUUAUCACUAGGUUGGUACAAUUAAUAUGAUCUCUUAGGAGUAUCUUCGGAAGCUGUGGUUAGCGUCUUUGGGCAAGCAUCUUUGGAGGCUGUGGUUAGUGUCCUUUGGCACAGUGCCUACUGUACUGAAGUUAGAGAGACCCACUGUCUGCAAAUCGUUCAAGGUGAGGACAGGCUAACAAUUCAAGCAGGUGUGGCGAGAAGAGCUGUGAGAGAAGCACACCCCAUGUAGGCACUUCCACAGUAGGUGCAGAGUGGCCUGAAGAGACCAAUGGGGUUUUCUCAGCUGCUGCUAACUCAACAGGUCUCUGGUUUUACCUGCUCUGGUAGUGCAGUCUUGAAGCACUUGUCUCCUGGUUAGGUACUGGUACCUGUCCAAGUGCUUCAUUGGGAGUCUAGGGGGUAGGAAUCACAGCACCUACUUUGUGUCACCUAUCCUGGGCCUUGUCAGCAGUGGGUAAUUAAACAAGGAACCUGCACAGGUGAUGUGGUAAUAAAGUUUGUGUUAUUCUCUACUGCUACUGUGGGUGUCCCUGCCUGGGAGUGAGGCCUUGGACUGCCCUCGUUUUGAUGUCUGGGAUGGGGUGUUGGCUGAGUUUUUUUCUUCCCUCAAUUCUUAACUGUUUCUAAAUUUUUGUGUAUGGGCAUACGUGCUUGUAACAUUGUAUCUGCAGUCAGAAAGCUGAGAGGCGAAUGCUGGUGCUCAGCAGCCCAGGCAAUGACACCAUCUACAUUCAGGGUGGGUCUUCUGACCUCAGUCAAACCUCAUUACAGAGUCCCUCACAAAAGGUCCAAAGGUGUGUCUCCUAGGUGACUCCAGAACCUGUGACAAUCAAGAUAGCCAUCACAAGAGAAGUGGGCAACGGAGUGACUUGGCCAUAGAGCCCAAGGGACCAGGGAGCCUGGGUUUCGGGUUAGGUCUCAGUGCUACUAGCCUGAGUCUAUGACUUUAACACAGAUGGCCCAAGCGAGACCUCCCCGUGAGCCUUGGUGACCACCUCACCUAAUAGAGUCAGAGACAAAGCCCUGUCUCGGCCUUCACCACAAUUUAAAGUUACCUUCUCAUGAGCGGAGCUCAGCAGCACCCUGCAGCCAGCAACCGUGCAGACGCCCUCAGCUCUGCACUCAGCAGACGAGAGAGCCCUUCCUUCCAAAUGGUUUAUACUGAAAUGUAAAUGAACGAGGGACAUAAAAAAAAAAAAGAGGGAGAGGAGGGAAAAAAUGAAAAUAGAUUUAAGUUCUUGCCUUUUAAAAUUUUUAUCAUUUCCACCAGAGCUGACUGUUUUUGUUUAAUCUCGCCAUUCUUUUUCUUCUUCCGCCGGUGCCAUUUUUCUUAGGGAUAUGCAAACUUUAUUAGUUAGCUCUCCUUUCAAGCUCAGUAGGUUUCUGUGUUUGAGAAUUGGGAAUCAGGUACUUUUACUGUUAGCCCCAGGGUGGAUCUGAGCAGGAGGAAGCUUUAUGAAUAAUCAGGGCUGACAUUUGUAGCGUUGGCGCCUUCAUUAUAAAUAUUGUUGAGGGAGCUGUGACCACUGUGGGCACCCAUGGAACAGAGUGGGCAGGGGAGCGGCAGCAAGCCUUUGAUUUCAGCUCUUUCCUGGUUACUGCUUCACUUCUGACCCUGGUGUUGACAGGUCUCUUAGAUUUGGCUGCCUUUUUUUUUUUCUUCUUCCCCCAGAAAGUUUCUCCUGUAUUAGCAUAAGUGUUUGGUCUGCAGGAUGCUGGGUUCGUCUGCACGUCUCCACAACUCCGAAGGCUAAGAAUCAUAGUUAAUAUUAGUGCUCAUGUCGCCUCCUGGAAUCACUAAUGAGUGCUGGGCUGCUCUGGGACCUUAACCGUUGGAAUCCCAUUGGAUUCAUUACAGCGUCGUGAUGUGUUUCAAGGGGAAAGGGAACGAUAGCGCCCUUCUCAACUUUAGUGAGUUCCCGAGAAAGAUACCAGUGUUUCAUGUGUGCAGUGGUGCCCCCAGAUGUACCCCCCACUAAUACCUGGCCAUAUAAUUAGCAAAUUGUUCCUCAGAUGAUUCAUGCUUUCUUCUGUGUGUGGUGUUGCAUGUAUGUGUGAGCUUGUCUGUGUAUGCAGGUGUGGAGGGCAGGGCUCCACACCAGGUGCCUUCCUUUAUCCCCGUCAUCAUCAUCAUCACUACCACCAUCAUCAUCACCACCACCGAAACCACUGUUACUUUGAGAUAAAGUCUCUCACUGAAUUUGGGCUGUCGUGACUAGAGUGACUAGCUGGUGACAGCCUCUUCUGCCCAUCUCUAUCCUUAGCACUUCAAUCACAGGCCCAUGUCACCCCAACUGGCUUUUUACAUGAAAGUGGAGGAACCAAACAUAGGCCCUCGGGCUUCCACAGCAAGCACCUUACCCACUGGGCCGUCUCUCUUGCCUCCAGAUUCACGUUAUUUAUUAUUUUCUUUUGUUAUUUAUUUUGAUUUCAUGUGGAUUGAUGUUUUGCCUGCAUGUGUGUGUGUGUGAGGGCACAGGAUCCCCUGGAGCUGGUGUUAUAGACAGUUGUGAGCUGCCAUGUGGGUGCUGGGAAUUGAACCCAGUGCUCUUAACUUCUGGGACAUCUCUCCAGUCGCAAGAUUCAUGUUAUUUUAACAGAGUUUCCAUUUUUCAAAUGGGGUCAAUAAACAAGCUUGAAUUUAUACGUCACCAGUAAAACAUGACAAGUUUCUUGCCCUCCAUCCCCAAUUACUUUGUCUUCUAUCCAUCCCUAACACAUUCACCAAACAGUUACCCAGCUGGAUGCCCAGGUCAUUGUCCCAAUAGCCUAAGAGGAAUGUACUAUUGUCAUUCUGAGUUCUAUAAAUCCAGGCUGGGGAGAGGGGGCUUUGCCCAGGGCCCCCCCCCCCCGGAUGAGUUAGGCUUGAAGUGCUGAGCCUGAAUUCAGACCACGUACUCUCUCAGCUCACCAAAGUUUACUAGUGUCAUUUGUUAGUCAUUUGCCCACUAAUUAGCAUUCAUUUUAUACUAGCAUUGGGAUUGCCAAGGAAACCAAAGCAGAAACACGAAGCUCAAAUUCUGCAGUGGGAGUAAGUCCUCUUGGCUGGUGGCAAUAUUACUACAUAUCCAAUGAAAAGAUUGAAAUAGGAACCAGGAGUAGGUAGGGCAAGCUGCCAGUCUCUGCAGAGCUCAAGGAAGGCUUCCUGGAGGAAGAGUUUAUAGGAGGGAGGGGGUUUUUAUUCACCAAGAUAAGCAAGUACACCUUACCGAAAGGAUGUUGACAGCAGAUUUGAGGCAGACAAAGGGAUUAGGGGAUUUAUUUUCUGGGCUUCUAAAAUCCAGAUAAGCCUUCAAGAAUCUUCGACGCAUGUAUGUACAUUGUGUGCCCGAGACUCACAAUUCUUCCUUUGAAGAGCUUGCAUGCAAGUAAGCAUUUUUGUUCUGCUAGAUGUGGGCCUCAGCAAGACAGUAGGAGAAGCCGGUCUGGGGGAGUCUUGGGAAUUGACUUUGAGGUGAACGGAACUGAGAUAUUCAAUACUGCAGAUAUUUGGCAGGAGCAGAAGAGGGUGGCAGCAGUCUGGAGUUUAGGAGAGGAACCAGGGCCAGGGAUGCAAUUCAGGAAACACUAACAAGCCAAGAAAUACGUGGCUCAGAUGGAGUAUCCCAUCCCAAUGCCUCUUACCAUUCUCCACUGUCUUCAAGCUGGAUAGGGAGGCCAGUGCAUUCAGCUUGUGGGGAGGGAGGGAAGGAGGGAGAGAGGGAGAGAGGGAGAGAGAGAGAGACAGAGAGAGACAGAGAGAGACACACAGAGAGAGAGAGUCCUAGCUCCUCUCACUUAAUAAUAUUUCAUAAUCUUGUAUGUUUUUAUGUACAUGUGUGUGGAGUGUACAUGUGUGUAGAAGCCAGAGUGAACCUUGGAUGUCAUUCCUCAGGACAGCAUUGAACUUGUGUUCGAAGACAGGUUCUCUUACUGCUUGGUAGUUGACAGUUUGGCCAGGCAGACUGGCCAGCAAACUCCAAGGAUUCUCCUAUCUCUGCCUGUCUAGAAUUACAAGCAAAGGCCACCAAACCUGGCUUGUCCUUUGUUAUGGUGGGUUUUUUUGUUUGUUUGUUUGUUUGUUUUGUUUUGUUUUUGUGGGUUCUGGGGAUCAAAGUCAUUUCCUUCAGCUUGCAUUGCAACCAUCUUACCAGCUAAACUAUCUCCCUAGCCUCUUGGCUCCUUUCUGUCUAGGAGGAAGUGACUCAAGGCAUAGUCACCUGAGAGAGUCUCAGCUAGGGAUUCCCCAGAUCAGAGCAACCUGGACCCCUGACUGGGAAAGAGAAAGAUUGAUUGUCAUGGUUAGUGAUGGGCCAGGGCAGUCUGUGUAACUGAGAGAGAGCCAGGAAGAAGCCCUCUCCAGGGCUCCCAUCUCAAUUUCUUCCCUCAGUUCCCUCAGUGUGGACUGUGACCUUGAGUAACUUGCUACUCCACCAUAUUGCUUUUGGCCUUAGAGUUUAUUCCAGCAAACAAGAAGCAAACUAAAAUCUUCACCAAUUUUUUUCCCCUGGUCUGAUAGUCUGGCGGUAGCUGAAUUUAGAAGCUUAGGAACCAGUAUUCUGAACGCAGUUUAGAACAGAAUGUCUCUUAAGGUCCUAAGUUCACAUGACUGAUUUCCAUGUGGGAAACCCUGCCCAGUGAAAGAGAAUUGUAUCUUAGGAGGCUGUUAUCAAGUGCAUCUGGAACACUGCCCAAGGAUGAGGAGCUGGGAGUGGAAAAGCUUAGGUGAUAGUUCUCAACCUUCCUAAUGCCGCAGCCCUUUAAAACAGCUUCCCAUGUUGUGCUGACCCCAACCAGAAAAUUAUUUUCAUUGAUACCUCAUAACUGUAAUUUUGCUAUUGUUAAGAAUCGUAAUGUAAACAUCUGUGUUUUCCUGCCGUCUUAGACAACCCCCGUGAAAGGAUCAUGAGGUCGAGAUCCACAGGUUGAGGACCACUGGCUUGGAAUCAGGCCUAGGAUUGCACUCAAGGCAAGACCUCAGGAAUUCAGAUGGCCCUUCCAGUGCCAAGCUUCAUGUUGGAGACUCACAGGGCUGCCCCCAUCUCAGAUACCAGCUGAAACUGGAGUACACAGGAAAGUUUACAUUGGGUUCCUGUGGUUUUCCUGGUUUGUAUCCUCUGUUGAAUGCUGUCUGCUCCCACCAUCGGUGCUCUGACCAUUGACACUUCAUGGAUUCCAGUUUCUGGCUUCAAAUAUCUGCUGAGCUGGGAAACCAGACACCUUCCUUAUUUGGAUUGUGGAUGAAUGAAUGAAUGAAUGAAUGAAGCAUAAAGAGAACGGAAGAUCCAAAUCCCUCCGAGUAUCUACCAGAUGGAUCCGAAGAAUUUCUUCGGAGGGAGAGUAGAGGGGUUUACCCAACCGUAUGAAAAUGACUGUUUCAAGUUGGCUCACACUAGCACUGAAUAAACACAUAUUGAUAUUACAGAACAAAA